GCCCUGCCCUGCCCUGCCCUGCCGGUGUUGUGAGCUGGGAGGUGAGCACUCCACACACACCAUGACAUCACCUGGCUUGUGAGUUCUGUUUUCAGGAGAGAGAGCAGCAGCUGCAAUCGAUCAGCUGAUCAGUGGGUGGCCUUCAUAAGGAGGACGGAGGACACUGCUAAGCCGCCGGAUGAUUACGCCUACUGGCUCAGUCAUCUUUCCAUACACCACCUCCUCGCUGAGACCUUUUGGAUUUACUACUCGACCAUACUACGUCUGGACUUCACUCCCGGUUCCUGUCCUCCUCACGGCACUAACUGCUCCCAGCACUACAGGCUCUCUCUCUCCUUCCCUCCGGUUGUAAAACCUUGCCGAUCUUCAUCACCCCGGAAUACUCAGUCACUCUCCCAGCUCACCCCUCCCUGGAGAUCCUCCAUCACGCUACAUCUACGCUGCUCCCGUUUACCCAUUCACUGGAUUUCCAGUGCACCCUAAGUUCUAGUUACCAAAUAAAUCUUUAUUUUUUCA